UGUAUCAGUGUCCGUACAUCAAACUUGGUUUUCUUCUUUCCGUGUAGUCGGGGGAGGAUAUGCCAGAUGUGAAGUGUCUUACGGCUGAUUUUCGGAUCGGCUGUGAGUCCUUUGAAAUGUACAGAACUGACUCUCUUUGUUCGAAAAGCGUGGCAUUGCUGGUUGUAAAGGCUGUUCAUGUGACCAGUCGGCGAUCGGUUUGUCUGCUGUGGCGUUAAUGGAGGAGUGUUCGAUUCGCGGUAUGGUUGGCUUCGGCUGAACGGACGCUUAUUGGUCAUUCUUCUUGCUGUGGCGGUAUAACUGAUGAACCGUAGUCGUGUGUGACUUACCUUUUGAAUCGGCGUUGCUGUGCGAAGUAGAGUGACAGUUUCGGCUGUCGAGGGUCGACCCAUUUGGGAAAUUGUGCGGUGCGGCUUCGGUCGCGCGGCAUCUCAAUUGGACCUGAUAUCAGGCAAGAUUACCCGCUGAACUUAAGCAUAUCAAUAAGCGGAGGA
rnacentral:rRNA from 1 species